ACCUGCACCUAUAUAUGUACAUAUAUUUUAAUAUCUAUAUCUACAUCGCGAUGGUUUUAAUGCCUUAACCGUAGGCUGAAAAGACUCAAAGUGGUGUUUUCGUGCGCCCGAACCCGCGGGCGGAUGGACGGCACCAGUUCUGCCGGCAAUAGAAGUGGAAAAAAAAACAAAAAAAACCCAAAAAAGUGCUUGCAAUGGGCGCAAGUGAUAAGCGCAUUUGGGUGUUAUUCGAGAUUCGGCUUCUCUGCCUGUCGAUGAGAGGUUUGGCCGAGGAGUAGGGUCUAGGCUGCAUAUUAGGCUUAACCCGGGGACCGGCGCUUUAGGGGAGCGGCGUGUGCGAAAGGUGUUUGCCCCGCGGAGCGAAGCCCGCCGCGGCGAAGCCGAGCAGGGGCAAUUGCUCAGUUCCGCCACCACUGAGGAACCCAAUUUUUAAUUAGAGCCCCCCGGUAUAAAAACUCGAGUGAGGCGCUGCCUCUCGCACCCGGGCUGGACUCUCUCUUGCCGGCCUGCAGAGAGACACACCACGCUCAAAGCGACCCUGUAAGUGACUCCUCUUCUCUCCUCUUCUCUCCUCUUCUCUCCUCUUCUCUCCUCUUCUCUUUUCUCUUCUCUUCUCUUCUCUUCUCUUCUCUUCUCUUUCCUCUCCUCUCCUCUCCUCUCUUCCUUUCACCUAGGAUACUCUUUCUUUCUCUUUCUCUCUCUCUUUUACCUAGCUCUUUUCUUUCUUUCUCUUUCUUUCUUUCUUUCUUUCUUUCUUUCUUUCUUUCUUUCUUUCUUUUCUUUUCUUUUCUUUUUUCUUUCUCCUUCCUUUUCUUUCCAUCUCUCUCUCUUUUCUCUCUUCUCUCUCUUUCUCUCUUCUCUCUCUUCUCUCUCUUCUUUCUCUCUCUCUUUUACCUAUCUCUUUCUUUCUUUCUUUCCUUUUCUUUCCAUCUCUCUCUCUUUUCUCUCUUGCCUCUUUUUCUCUUUUCUCUCUUUCUCUCUUUUCUCUCUCUCUUCUCUUUCUCUCUUUCUUCUCUCUUUCUCUCUUCUGUCUCUUCCCUCUCUCUUCUCUCUCAUUUAUCUCUUCCUUCCCUCUCCUUCUCUC
rnacentral:lncRNA from 1 species